UGAGGUAGAGGUCUCUUCUCAUGAACCUCAGCUCUGGGAAGCAGACGGCAGCUUUAACUUCCAGGAACACCCUUUGCACCUUGGCCAUCCUGAGCAGAUGGAGCCUUUCCCCAGCUUCUAAGAAAGGGGAAGAGAGCUCCCCUGAAGAGACCUUUUCCCCAAGCAAGGACCAAAAGCAGGUGCAAGCAGGAAGCAUAGGGGAUCCCUAGAAUUAGACUGGCUUCUACUGCUGGUUUCAUACAGACCCACGGGACGGUGGUGCUCACAGUUACUGCCCAACUGUCCAGACUGAUGUCUUCUCAGUGUGUGCACUCUGCUGACUCAUGUAUGAGAUAUGCUUCUCAUGGUGUUGACCAGAUUUCUUGGAGGGUAUGACAGCUGCAAACAGUAUCAACAAUGUCUGGAAAAACUGACAAAUUUAAGAGAAAGGUGAUUAAUCAGUGGGAGUUUCAGGCAGCAACUGAGUGCAGGAAAUCUGCCUGCCAGGUGAAGACUGGUGAGAUAUAUCUGAUGUCUUCCUUGAGAGUGAUGAGAGAAUUGAGGGGCUAAAUAGGCACCAACACCAGAGAUGAAGACAUGCAGAGACUUCUAGUGUUCAUACCGUGAGAGGUGGAAAAAGGAAGGUUUUCUGGAGGGAAGUGGAACCUGUGAUUUAUGCCAAUAAAACAUCAUUUUAGAUUCCUUGAA